UACGUAGGGGGCAAGCGUUGUCCGGAUUUAUUGGGCGUAAAGAGCGUGUAGGCGGCCAGACAGGUCAGCUGUGAAAACUCGAGGCUCAACCUCGAGACGUCGGUUGAAACCGUCUGGCUAGAGUCCGGAAGAGGAGAGUGGAAUUCCCGGUGUAGCGGUGAAAUGCGCAGAUAUCGGGAAGAACACCCGUGUCGAAGGCGGCUCUCUGGGACGGUACUGACGCUGAGACGCGAAAAGCGUGGGGAGCGAACAGG
rnacentral:rRNA from 1 species